AUGCUCUACUCGUUCUUCAUUCUCCAUUCUUUUCUUCUCUGGUGGAUUCAAUUCAAGUUUUCUGUGUUGAUCAUAUUCUUUUCCUUGCUUCAAAUGCCUUCUCAUGCCGGUGCAUCUCUCAACUAUCCACUUCUCGCUAUUUCAAUUGUUCCGGAGUGCUCAAGAUAUCUCGAAGAUUCGUGUUUCCAACUCUACAUUCGUUCAAACUCUUUCGAGGAUGUUAUCUCAUUCAAGCCGUUUAUUUCAAUCGGUGCUAUCUCCUUUUCAAGUAAUCAUCCUACGGUGUUUCUUUUGAGUGGGCCCUAA
rnacentral:rRNA from 1 species